rnacentral:rRNA from 1 species
CUACGGGUCGCUCCAGUGGGGAAUAUUGCACAAUGGGGGGAACCCUGAUGCAGCAACGCCGCGUGGAGGAUGACGCAUUUCGGUGUGUAAACUCCUUUUAUAUGUCAAGAAAAUGACGGUAGCAUAUGAAUAAGCACCGGCUAACUCCGUGCCAGCAGCCGCGGUAAUACGGAGGAUGCAGGCGUUACUCGGAAUCACUGGGCGUAAAGGACGCGUAGGCGGGUUGGAAAGUCAGGUGUGAAAUCCUACAGCUUAACUGUAGAACUGCACUUGAAACUUCUAAUCUAGAGUAUGGGAGGGGGAGAUGGAAUUAGUGGUGUAGGGGUAAAAUCCGUAGAUAUCACUAGGAAUACCUAAAGCGAAGGCGAUCUCCUGGAACAUUACUGACGCUAAGGCGUGAAAGCGUGGGGAGCAAACAGGAUUAGAUACCCUAGUAGUC